rnacentral:rRNA from 1 species
CUAUGCGCCUUGCCCAGCCCGCUCAGGUGUGCCAGCAGCCGCGGUAAUACAGAGGUCUCAAAGCGUUGUUCGGAAUCACUGGGCGUAAAGCGUGCGUAGGCGGUUUCGUAAGUCGUGUGUGAAAGGCGGGGGCUCAACCCCCGGACUGCACAUGAUACUGCGAGACUAGAGUAAUGGAGGGGAACCGGAAUUCUCGGUGUAGCAGUGAAAUGCGUAGAUAUCGAGAGGAACACUCGUGGCGAAGGCGGGUUCCUGGACAUUAACUGACGCUGAGCACGAAGGCCAGGGAGCGAAAGGG